GUACUCGCUUUGGCAGCACAUAUACUAAAAUUGGAAGGAUGCAGAGAACAUUAGUAUGGCCUCUGCAUAAGGAUGACAUGCAAAUUUAUGAAGUGUUAAAAAAAAAA